UAAAAAGAGGUUUUAUUUGGAGUUUUCUCGAAUUUAUAAGAGCUAAAAAUAUAUAUAUAUUAAUGUUGAAUAAUUACUUAUAAUAUAUUUUUUGCUAUUAGACGUUAGUCGGUUUUGAAUAUAUCUAGUUUUCUAAGAAAUUAAUUAAAUUAAGUUGGUUUAAUGAAUUAUUUUAAUGUAAAAUUAAUUUUUAAAUCAGGUAAUAUUCAAGGGGAUAAGCUUUUGGGUAGAUUUUUAAAAUAAUUUGUUUAUUGAAAGUUGAGUAGGAAUAGAAGUUUUCAUUUUUUGUAGUGUUUUAUAUCAAGACUUUUGUUUAAGUGAUUUGAUUUUAUUUAGAUUUUUUAUUAGAAUAUUAAGAGUAAUUGGGAGGCUUAAGAAAUAAUGAUGGAAUUAGUAUAAUUUAAUGUUUUACAAAUUGAAAGAUGAAAGUUUUAAUUAAGUAAUUCGGCAAAUUUAUUUUCUGCCUGUUUAUUAAAAACAUGGCCUUUUGUGAAUAAUUUAAGGUCUGGCCUGCCCAAUGAUUUGGUUAAAUGGCCGCGGUACUCUGACCGUGCAAAGGUAGCAUAAUCAUUAGUUUUUUAAUUGAAAGCUGGUAUGAACGGUCGGACAAGAAAAUUACUGUCUCAGUUGAAUGAUUUUAGAAUUUUAUUUUUUAGUCAGAAGGCUAAAAUGAGUUUAAGGGACGAGAAGACCCUAUAGAAUUUUAUAAAUUUUACUUGGUUGGGUUUUUGGUCUUGUUGGUUUGACUAAUUAAAAUUUAUUUUGUUGGGGUGAUGGGAAAAUUUGAUAAACUUUUUUUUUAUGGAGAAUCAUUAAUUUAUGAUUAGAUGAUCCGUUUAUUACGAUUACAAGAUUAAAUUACCUUAGGGAUAACAGCGUUAUUAGUCUGGGGAGUUCUUAUCGAUAGACUAGUUUGCGACCUCGAUGUUGGAUUAAAAUAAACUUUUGGUGUAGGGGCUGGAAAGUUAAGUCUGUUCGACUUUUAAAAUUUU
rnacentral:rRNA from 1 species